ACCAAUACAAUUCUGUAACUGACACUGGCUCUAGGUACACAACUAAAUUUUUGGGUAUUAAAUACCUCUAGGACUCGAUAACAUAAAAGAAAGACAUAACAUGAUUCAUAAAUGCAUAACCAUAAUUGCUUGCUAACAAUGAACUUAUUUAGAUAUUUUGUCAAACACUUGAUAUACUUGAACUUGUGCAUGAAUAGGAUCACAUAAUGACUUGUUAUGAUUCUACUAUUUACUUCACAUAGGCAAUUUAGCAAACACUUGUAGGGCAUAAGCUUUUACAUGAUUGGGAACACAUAAUGACCUAUCAUGAUUUUACUAUUUACUUCAUAUACGUAAUUUUGCAAAAACUUGUAGGGAAUAGAUUAGUCCACAUGCCAAUGUCCAAUACAUUAACAUCAUGAAUACAAUACUCAAUUUCAAAUUCAAGGGUUUAGCAUGCAAUUCAUAUAUCUCAUCACAUAAACUAUUUUAAUUUCAUGGAAACUUAUAUUAAAUCAUGGAUUAAAACCCAAACAAAAUCAUGAACAUGACAAUUAAAUACAAACAUAGAAUUCAUAUAAUCUAAAACUUGUAUUUUGAAAAAGGGUUCUUGGGCUCCAUGGAAGAUAAGGAUCCAUGGAUGAACAUCUAACAUACCUUAAUUGUGAGUUUCUUGAAGUUCUUGGUGAAUCUUUGAGAUUUGGGUUUUGCUAGUUUGAGAGAGAAUGCUUUUAAUUUGGUGAUGAAUUGAAUAAUGAGUAGCUAAGGACGUUUUUAGGGAUUAAAUCCCAUAUAUGGGAAUAAUAAACUCAUGGAAAAAGACUAUCUUAACCCUGAGCAUCCUUUUAAUUUUGCUUAGAAAUUUUAUGAACUGGGCCUUUGGAGCGACACGACGCUAUCACGCCGUAUCAAUGGAAAAUAACAUAUUAGAAUUUGGCCUAUGGCACGAUGCGGCACAAUCGUGGUCCCUGGAAACUGACAACUGCGAACUGGGACAUCGGUUCGACGCGAUGGUAUCACGACGGAACUCUGUAAAAGGACAAUUGUGAACUGAGCCUAUGGUGCGAUGCACCAAUAUCGCGAUGGAGCAAUGGAAAGUGACAAUUUUCAUUUGGCUUGGCUCCGCGAUGCGCUGUCGUUCCAGGUGGUACACUGUCUUACAAAAAUGAGUCUAACUCUUCACUUGGGUAUCAAAUUUUGGCGAAUUUUAUAUCGUUGGAAAGCUAAUUGAAUUUCCUACACAAUGGAAGUAAACUAAAAAAUGCUGAGUAUUUCAAAAUAUUUAUAUGGAAUUACUCAUGUACUAAUACUUAAAUUAAGAUAGGGAAAUACGAGGUAUUACUGUAUACCUUGCCGACAAGUAGUUUGUGCGUUGUAUCACAUUGCACAUGAAUUAAAAAAUUAUGUCGAGCAGUUGUACAGGAAAGACACAUUCUUACGUGCUAAUAAGUACUUCAUACAACCUAUCUCUAACAUGAUAAUAUGGCACGAAAGUAAUAAUCCAUUAGUUGAGCCACCUGAAGUUAAGCUAAUUCUUGGAAGACCUCCCAGAUGUAGAAGAAAAGAUAAAUAUAAAUCAAGGAAGAAAAAUGGGGGAAAGCAUAAAAAAAUGGAGUAAAAGUGACAGGUUCCAAAUGUCAUCAAGUUGGGCACAACAAAAGAGGCUGCAAAUCAGUGCUCCCUCAACAGCUCACUCAAUAGCCUUCUAAACAGCCCUCUCAACAUCCUUCCCAACCAAGGUCAAUGAGUCAGCCUAGCACUCAACAUUCAUCUCUAUGUCCUGAAACUUCAAGAGUUAAGGAAGUGAAAAGUAGGCAAGCUCUUUAACUAUGAGGGAAACAUCUUUAGAUGGAAGGAAAAGUACAAGAGAUGUAGGAUUUGGUGUAUACAGAGACACACAAUCUGGAAGACAAGUCAUUAAUCCCGACAGAUCGAGCGAAAGAGUUAUUUCGAGUGGGAUGACACUAAAGGAUACAUCACUGACAAAUGUUGAUUUAGGAUUCAAGCCACCUUGUUUGAAAUGGAAAGGAAAAGACGCUAUGACUGGAAAUCAACUUCAACAAAUUCAACAACGUAUAAAGUUGCAAACCAAAUCCUAGAGUCGUGGUGUUAGAUUGGACAGUUUCUUUUUUAUUUUUGAUGUAUGUUUUGUGAAUGAUAAAUUCAAGUCCACUGUAAAUUCAAGUCCAACAGUGUUAAUGGCAUUUAGAUUUGUGAAACUAUGCAACUAUUGGUUAUUUUGAUGUAUGUUUGUUUGCCUUUAGACAAUUUUUGGUGUUGGCUAGCUUUUGGAUA